CCUACGGGAGGCAGCAGUGAGGAAUAUUGGUCAAUGGACGCAAGUCUGAACCAGCCAUGCCGCGUGCAGGAAGACGGCUCUAUGAGUUGUAAACUGCUUUUGUACGAGGGUAAACGCAGAUACGCGUAUCUGUCUGAAAGUAUCGUACGAAUAAGGAUCGGCUAACUCCGUGCCAGCAGCCGCGGUAAUACGGAGGAUUCAAGCGUUAUCCGGAUUUAUUGGGGUUAAAGGGUGCGUAGGCGGUCGGAUAAGUUAGAGGUGAAAUCCCGAGGCUCAACCUCGGAAUUGCCGCUGAUACUGUUCGGCUAGAGAGUAGUAGCGGUAGGCGGAAUGUAUGGUGUAGCGGUGAAAUGCUUAGAGAUCAUACAGAACACCGAUUGCGAAGGCAGCCUGC
rnacentral:rRNA from 1 species